rnacentral:piRNA from 7 species
CUGGGUCGGGGUUUCGUACGUAGCA